CAGGUUGCUCUGGGUGACUAUUGCCAGAGCUUAUGAUGUACAAUCCUUGCUGAGACCUAGGGCAAUUACUGCCUACUCCACCAGAAGUGCGGUGACCACGGCAGCCUGGGUGACGUGGGCUUCGGUGGAGAUCUGCCGGGCAGCAACCUGGACGACCCCGUAACCGUUCAUGCGACAAUACAGGCUGGAUUCGGUGGAGGCUGCAUUUGACAGAUGAGUUUUACAGCGGGUGUUGGAGAUGCCCAGCAAUCAGGACUAGACAGGUACCCACCCAUGAGGACGACCUGCUUGGAGCAAAGGAGUGAGAUUUCCUGAAGGACAACUAUUAGCAGCUUUUGAACAAGCAAGAUGGGGGUGAAGAAGGAAAACUAUUUAACCAGUGUGAUUUUGGUUUUUGUUUGGCUCCUCUUGGGUAAAUGAUUGGUCUUGCGGUUGGUCCCAUAAUAAAUAUUUCCAUUUCAA